CCUACGGGAGGCAGUAGUGAGGAAUAUUGGUCAAUGGACGAAAGGCUGAACCAGCCAAGUAGCGUGAAGGAUGACUGCCCUAUGGUUUGUAAACUUCUUUUAUAAGGGAAUAAAACGAGGCACGUGUGGAUUUUUGCAUGUACUUUAUGAAUAAGGAUCGGCUAACUCCGUGCCAGCAGCCGCGGUAAUACGGAGGAUGCGAGCGUUAUCCGGAUUUAUUGGGUUUAAAGGGAGCGUAGAUGGGUUGUUAAGUCAGUUGUGAAAGUUUGCGGCUCAACCGUAAAAUUGCAAUUGAUACUGGCAGUCUUGAGUACAGUUGAGGUAGGCGGAAUGCGUGGUGUAGCGGUGAAAUGCUUAGAUAUCACGAAGAACCCCGAUUGCGAAGGCAGCUUACUAAACUGUGACUGACAUUGAUGCUCGAAAGUGUGGGUAUCAAACAGGAUUAGAUACCCCUGUAGUC
rnacentral:rRNA from 1 species